rnacentral:rRNA from 1 species
GACGAACGCUGGCAGCGUGCUUAACACAUGCAAGUCGAACGGAAAGGCCCUGCUUGCAGGGUACUCGAGUGGCGAACGGGUGAGUAACACGUGGGUGAUCUGCCCUGCACUUCGGGAUAAGCCUGGGAAACUGGGUCUAAUACCGGAUAGGAGCCAUUUUUAGUGUGAUGGUUGGAAAGUUUUUUCGGUGUAGGAUGAGCUCGCGGCCUAUCAGCUUGUUGGUGGGGUAAUGGCCUACCAAGGCGGCGACGGGUAGCCGGCCUGAGAGGGUGGACGGCCACAUUGGGAUUGAGAUACGGCCCAGACUCCUACGGGAGGCAGCAGUGGGGAAUAUUGCACAAUGGGCGCAAGCCUGAUGCAGCGACGCCGCGGGGGGGAUGACGGCCUUCGGGUUGUAAACUCCUUUCGCUAGGGACGAAGCUUUUUGUGACGGUACCUAGAUAAGAAGCACCGGCUAACUACGUG